GGAAUAUUGGACAAUGGGGGGAACCCUGAUCCAGCCAUGCCGCGUGUGUGAAGAAGGCCUUUUGGUUGUAAAGCACUUUAAGCGAGGAGGAGGCUCCUAUAGAUAAUACCUAUAGAGAGUGGACGUUACUCGCAGAAUAAGCACCGGCUAACUCUGUGCCAGCAGCCGCGGUAAUACAGAGGGUGCAAGCGUUAAUCGGAUUUACUGGGCGUAAAGCGUACGUAGGUGGUCUUUUAAGUCGGAUGUGAAAUCCCUGAGCUUAACUUAGGAAUUGCAUUCGAUACUGGGAGACUAGAGUAUGGGAGAGGAUGGUAGAAUUCCAGGUGUAGCGGUGAAAUGCGUAGAGAUCUGGAGGAAUACCGAUGGCGAAGGCAGCCAUCUGGCCUAAUACUGACACUGAGGUACGAAAGCAUGGGGAGCAAACAGGAUUAGAUACCCCUG
rnacentral:rRNA from 1 species